GACGAACGCUGGCGGCGUGCUUAACACAUGCAAGUCGAACGGGAUUUAGUAGACAGAAGCCUCGGCUAAAGAUUACUAAUGAGAGUGGCGAACGGGUGAGUAACGCGUGAGCAACCUGCCUAUGACAGUGGGAUAGCCUCGGGAAACCGGGAUUAAUACCGCAUAAAAUCGUAGAAACACAUGUUUUAACGGUCAAAGAUUUAUCGGUCAUAGAUGGGCUCGCGUCUGAUUAGCUAGUUGGUGAGAUAACAGCCCACCAAGGCGACGAUCAGUAGCCGGUCGGAGAGGGUGAACAGCCACAUUGGAACUGAGACACGGUCCAAACUCCUACGGGAGGCAGCAGUGGGGAAUAUUGCACAAUGGGGGAAACCCUGAUGCAGCGACGCCGCGUGAACGAAGAAGGUAUUCGUAUCGUAAAGUUCUGUCCUAUGGGAAGAUAAUGACAGUACCAUAGAAGAAAGCUCCGGCUAACUACGUG
rnacentral:rRNA from 1 species